UACGUAGGGGGCAAGCGUUGUCCGGAAUCAUUGGGCGUAAAGAGCGUGUAGGCGGCUCGGUAAGUCCGCUCUGAAAGCCCGGGGCUCAACCCCGGGAGGCGGGCGGAUACUGUCGGGCUAGAGUCCGGAAGAGGAGAGUGGAAUUCCUGGUGUAGCGGUGAAAUGCGCAGAUAUCAGGAAGAACACCCGUGGCGAAGGCGGCUCUCUGGGACGGUACUGACGCUGAGACGCGAAAGCGUGGGGAGCAAACAGG
rnacentral:rRNA from 1 species